CAUCUGUGGAACAUAUGUCAGAUGUAAUAAGCUAUAUGGAGUAGGGUUUUCAUCUGGUUUCAAUAUCCACAGAAGUGAAAAAUACAUAGACACAACUUUUUACAUCUGGUCAUAAUAUAAUCAGAAGCAAAGCUGAAUGCGGUGGCAAUCCUGUAAUUAUGGUGAGAAUUGUGUAACUCGCAGUACUAUCAUGAUCUCACUCAUCUCUCUCACGCACUGCUCACUCGAUUUCUCUCACUUCUCACUCGAACCCUAGCGGCCUUAUCUCUCUCACGAUCGAUCUCGUCUUCUCUCUCACUAAUCUCACUCGAACUCGGCGGCGUCAUCUCUCUCACCGACCUCACGUACUCGCUCAUCUUUGUCGUCUCUCUGUCUCACUGAAACACGAAUUGAUGGCUGAAUCGGAAAUUCCAAAACCCAGUGAAACAUGAAUUGAAGGUUGAAGCACUCAUAUCUGUCUUCUCUCUCGUUUCAUCUUCUCUAGCCCUAAACCCAGAGAAAAGAAAGCAUACAAGAGUUUUCGCACACGAAGAAAGCUACCUGAGUAUGCAAUUCUUCUUGAACAAAUCUGGUGAAGCUUUUAGAUUUUGUUGAACUAAAGCAGCUCGAUACCUUUCUUUGACAUUGAGAAACAUGAAACUACGAUUUUGCGUUGGUCUAUAGCUAGGACAAUAGCUACUAAGGACCAGUUGCAGCAAACAGAAGUGGAUUGUGCGUAUUUGAAUAGAUGUUGUGAGAUACUGACAGAAGAGACUAAGAGUUUACAUAAAGAACUUCAAAUUUGGAGCAGUUUCUCUCGGGUUCAUUUUGUUAUUGUACUAGUAAGCAUUCUGCUUAGUUGAAUGAUUGAAGAAGGGAUCCAGACUAUGAGAAACAAUUGGGAUAUUGAUGGAAGCAAUUUGUUGGAUAUCUAUGCAGAUUGUAGGUGUUCAAUGAUCCCACGACAUUAACAGAGGAGGAGUUGUAUGAUUUGCGAGACCGCUGGGCAACUUGUUUUCUUCAACUAUAUAAUCCCGAGGUAGAUUAUGAUGAUGCCGACGAGAAAGAUUAGGAGCUAGCUAGGUUUGUGUGAAGUUACAAUGGACUAGUUAUGAUGAUGUUUUAAUUUGUAUUUUGGAUGGAUUAGUAUUAAUUAUUAUGAUGUUUUGUAUUUUGGAUUACAAUGUGGUUGUACUUUAAUGACAUUAUUACUAUAUAUAUGUUGAAUGUUGAAUUUGAAUUUGGCUA